GAGAAUGUUUGCUAUCUUGGUGGAGCAGCCGCAGCCAAGCAAGUAACUUGUAAAAUGAGGAAUGCCAUCACCCCUCGAGUGUCCAUCCCACAUAACUUGGGGUUAGAGCACAAGCGUUCCCAGGAACUACUCACCUUACCAUCUUGGCCGUUUCAUUUGUCUUCCACCAGUUCUGGAAAGAGAAGGCCUAGAAGUUCAGAAAAAAAGUAGGAAAAGUGCUUUUGGAGAAAAUCACCUGUCUCCUCAGAACUGGUCUUACAAGUCUGUGAAGUAACACUAUGUGCCAGCCUAAUCACUCAUAUAUGACCUCAAGAGAACACCAAAUAAGCAUAUUUCCAGCAGGAAAUGACCAGUGCUUUGGUUAAGAAUGCACAUUAUACUGCAGUUCUUUGGGGAAUGAAGCCACCCUUGACUGAGGUAUUAUGCCAACUCUCACCCUGUGAAUCCACUGACUGGGGAACAUUGUUUAAGAAAAUCACAUGGCUGUGCCAACAAGCAAGGAGACACGGCACAGAAGACAGAGGCAGAAGCAGCUUUAUUGAAAAACAGAGCAUGAGUAGAACGACUUCAAAUCCCAUAUGGCACCACACCUCUAGGAUGGACCCCCAUGAUCCCCACCUCCUGGUAUCCGCGCCAUGAUGCAAUCUGCUUACAGCCUAAAUCAGGAUGAACCAUAUGACUCAUAGAACACUGCAGAAGGCAUGAUGUGUGACUUCAGAUGUGAAGUCAUAGAGGACAAGGACACAGCCACCUUCUUGGAUUUCUCACUCUGUGGAAGGGCAGUGACAUUCCAUGAGACAAGCAGUCCUGUGGUGAGGCCCAUGUCAAGAAGGCCUGAGAUCUCCCACCAUCAGCUACAGCCAAUUUGUCAGUCACGUGAGUAAACCACCUGGGACGUGAAUCCUCUCGACUUAACCACCUCUUCAGGUGGCCAGAGCCCUAGCCCAGGUCUGACUGCAACCUGAUGAGAAACCCUGAGUAGGAAGACCUGCUUGAGCUGCUCCCAAAUUAU
rnacentral:lncRNA from 10 species